rnacentral:lncRNA from 1 species
CCCAGAGAUGAAUAGUUUUUGAUCUAUGAUUCAUGAAGCCUUUGAGAGAUUAAAUUUAAGAAUUAAUUAAUUUUAAAUUAGAUCUGAUUUAAUUAAACUUAAUUGGGCUCAAAUCCAAAUUAUACCUGGUGCAAAAAUCUUAAAGAGUUUAGGAAUGACAAUCUUUCAAAAUUAUUUCAAACCAGCUUCAAAUUAGAUUCGAACC